rnacentral:rRNA from 1 species
GUGUGAGGCUGAUGUGUAGGCAAAUCCGCACAUCAUUAAGGCUAGGCUGUGAUGGGGAGCGAAAAUUGCAGUAGCGAAGGUCAUGAGUUCAGGCUGCCAAGAAAAGCCUCUAGCCAGGUGAAGGUGCCCGUACCGCAAACCGACACAGGUAGGCGAGCAGAGUAUGCUAAGGCGCUCGGAAGAACUCUCGUUAAGGAACUCGGCAAAAUGACCCCGUAACUUCGGGAGAAGGGGUGCCUCGGUAGGGUGAAUAGCCCGAGGGGGCCGCAGUGAAAAGGCCCAAGCGACUGUUUAGCAAAAACACAGGUCUGUGCGAAGCCGUAAGGCGAAGUAUACGGGCUGACGCCUGCCCGGUGCUGGAAGGUUAAGGGGAGUGGUUAGCCGCAAGGCGAAGCUAUGAACCGAAGCCCCAGUAAACGGCGGCCGUAACAAUAACGGUCCUAAGGUAGCGAAAUUCCUUGUCAGGUAAAUUCUGACCCGCACGAAUGGCGUAACGACUUGGGCGCUGUCUCAACGAGAGAUCCGGUGAAAUUUUAAUACCUGUGAAGAUGCAGGUUACCCGCGACAAGACGGAAAGACCCCAUGGAGCUUUACUGCAGCUUGAUAUUGGACUUUGGUACGAUCUGUACAGGAUAGGGGGGAGCCUUGGAAAUCGGAGCGCCAGCUUCGGUGGAGGCAUCGUUGGGAUACCACCCUGAUCGUAUCGGAGUUCUAACCUGGUACCGUGAUCCGGUACAGGGACCGUGUCAGGUGGGCAGUUUGACUGGGGCGGACGCCUCCUAAAAUGUAACGGAGGCGCCCAAAGGUUCCCUCAGAAUGGUUGGAAAUCAUUCGUAGCGUGCAAAGGCAUAAGGGAGCUUGACUGCGAGACCUACAAGUCGAGCAGGGACGAAAGUCGGGCUUAGUGAUCCGGUGGUACCGCAUGGAAGGGCCAUCGCUCAACGGAUAAAAGUUACCCUGGGGAUAACAGGCUUAUCUCCCCCAAGAGUCCACAUCGACGGGGAGGUUUGGCACCUCGAUGUCGGCUCAUCGCAUCCUGGGGCUGAAGUAGGUCCCAAGGGUUGGGCUGUUCGCCCAUUAAAGCGGUACGCGAGCUGGGUUCAGAACGUCGUGAGACAGUUCGGUCCCUAUCUGUCGUGGGCGUAGGAAAUUUGAGAGGAGCUGUCCUUAGUACGAGAGGACCGGGAUGGACGCACCGCUGGUGUACCAGUUGUUCCGCCAGGAGCAUAGCUGGGUAGCUACGUGCGGACGGGAUAAGCGCUGAAAGCAUCUAAGCGUGAAGCCCCCCUCAAGAUGAGAUUUCCCAGUAUGUAAGACCCCUGGAAGACGACCAGGUUGAUAGGUUCGAGGUGGAAGCGCAGCAAUGCGUGGAGCUGACGAAUACUAAUCGGUCGAGGGCUUAUCC